CCGCAUAAGAACAUUUCGGUCAACAAUGGGCCACAUAUACGACGGUCGUCCCAUAAGAUUAUAAAUGGAGCAGGAAAA